rnacentral:rRNA from 1 species
GACGAACGCUGGCGGCGUGCUUAACACAUGCAAGUCGAACGGAAAGGCCCUGCGUUUGUGGGGUGCUCGAGUGGCGAACGGGUGAGUAACACGUGAGUAACCUGCCCUUGACUUUGUGAUAACUUCAGGAAACUGGGUCUAAUACCGGAUAGGAGCUCCUGCUGCAUGUUGGGGGUUGGAGAGUUUCGGCGGUUGGGGAUGGACUCGCGGCUUAUCAGCUGGUUGGUGGGGUAGUUGCUUACCAAGGCUUUGACGGGUAGCCGGCCUGAGAGGGUGACCGGUCACAUUGGGACUGAGAUACGGACCAGAAUCCUACGGGAGGCAGCAGUGGGGAAUAUUGCACAGUGGGCGGAAGCCUGAUGCAGCAACGCCGCGUGCGGGAUGCCGGCCUUCGGGUUGUAAACCGCUUUCGCCUGUGACGAAGAGUGAGUGACGGUACUGGGUAAAGAAGCCACGGCUAACUACGUG